GAUGAACGCUAGCGGCAGGCUUAAUACAUGCAAGUCGAGGGGCAGCAGGACUGUAGCAAUACAGUUGCUGGCGACCGGCAAACGGGUGCGGAACACGUACGCAACCUACCCAAAACUGGGGGAUAGCCCGGGGAAACCCGGAUUAAUACCUCGUAACCUUUUUAAGUGGCAUCACUUGAUAAGUAUAGCUCCGGCGGUUUUGGAUGGGCGUGCGCCUGAUUAGGUAGUUGGUGCGGGUAACGGCCCACCAAGCCUGCGAUCAGUAACUGGUGUGAGAGCAAGACCAAUUAACACGGGAACUAGAAAACGGGCCCGCUCCUAACGGAAGCAGGAAUAAGGAAAAAUGGGUAAAGGAAGGAAGUCCUAACCCGCCAUGCCGCGUGAAGGAUGAAGGUCCUCUGGAUUGUAAACUUCUUUUAUGGGGGACGAAACCCGGAUAUUCUUAUCCGAUUGACGGUACCUCAGGAAUAAGCACCGGCUAACUCCGUG
rnacentral:rRNA from 1 species